rnacentral:rRNA from 2 species
GACGAACGCUGGCGGCGUGCCUAAUACAUGCAAGUAGAACGCUGAAGAGAGGAGCUUGCUCUUCUUGGAUGAGUUGCGAACGGGUGAGUAACGCGUAGGUAACCUGCCUUGUAGCGGGGGAUAACUAUUGGAAACGAUAGCUAAUACCGCAUAACAAUGGAUGACACAUGUCAUUUAUUUGAAAGGGGCAAUUGCUCCACUACAAGAUGGACCUGCGUUGUAUUAGCUAGUAGGUGAGGUAACGGCUCACCUAGGCGACGAUACAUAGCCGACCUGAGAGGGUGAUCGGCCACACUGGGACUGAGACACGGCCCAGACUCCUACGGGAGGCAGCAGUAGGGAAUCUUCGGCAAUGGGGGCAACCCUGACCGAGCAACGCCGCGUGAGUGAAGAAGGUUUUCGGAUCGUAAAGCUCUGUUGUAAGUCAAGAACGAGUGUGAGAGUGGAAAGUUCACACUGUGACG